AGGGUUUGAUCAUGGCUCAGAACUAACGCUUGUGGUGUGUCUUAGUCAUGCAAGUCGAACGAGAAAGUCGCCUUCGGGUGGCGAGUAAAGUGGCAAACGGGUGAGUAACACGUGGGCAAUUUGCCCCCGGGUUGGGGAUAACAUUUCUAACGAAGUGCUAAUACCGAAUGACAAGGCGAGUUUAUGACUCGUUUUUAAAGGUGGCCUCUACUUGUAAGCUGCCGCCUGGGGAUGAGCCCGCGUCGUAUUAGCUUGUUGGUAGGGUAACGGCCUACCAAGGCGACGAUGCGUAGCCGGCCUGAGAGGGUGAACGGCCACACUGGAACUGAGACAAGGUCCAGUCUCCUACGGGAGCCAGCAGUCUAGAAAUUUGCACAAUCGCCGAAAGGCGGAUGCAGCGACACCACGUGGAGGAUGAAGCCGUUCGCGGUGUAAACUCCUGUCAGGAGGGAAGAAGGUGCGGAUGUUAAUACCACCCGCUACUUGACGGUACCUCCAGAGGAAGCUCCGGCUAACUACGUGCCAGCAGCCGCGGUAAUACGUAGGGAGCGAGCGUUGUUCGGAUUUACUGGGCGUAAAGAGCACGUAGGCGGGUAUGCAAGUCGGUUGUGAAAUCCUCUGGCUCAACCAGAGAACUGCAAUCGAAACUGCAUACCUUGAGUCCAACAGAGGGAAUCGGA
rnacentral:rRNA from 1 species